GAAUAGGUUCAUCUAAUAAUAUCAGUUUUUAUUAUGAAACAGUUCCUCUCAUUACUCCUCCUGUAUCAGUGGUACCAGUAAUUGAUGAACAACUAAUAUCAUUGAAUAUCAGUAUUAAUGUCAGUGAGUUAUGCUUUGGUGAAUAUCCUAACAAUACAACAGUAAAUAUAC